CGCCGCCGUAGCUCAGUUGGUAGAGCACCUGGUUGUUACCCAGGUUGUCCCAGGUUCGAGCCCUGGCGGUGGCGUC
rnacentral:tRNA from 3 species